CGUGCCUAGUCCCACCCCUGGCCUUGCAUUCUAGGUCAGUGGGCGGAAGAGCAUAAAUUGCAGCUGUUCCCAGCCUUGCUGCAUUUUUCCCGAAGACUUCCAACAGCAGCAUGAAGUUGGGGGGCUUUCUCCUUCUGGUAAUGCUCAUCACCCUCAGCUCGGAGGUUCAGGAGCUCCAGGCUGCAGUGAGACCAUUGCAACUUCUGGGCACCUGCAUUGAGCUCUGCAAUGAUGACUGGGAUUGUGAUCCAGGAGAGCACUGCGUCAGCAAUGGGUGUGGCCACACCUGUGCUGCAGCCUAGGGACAGAUGAAGACUUAUCUUGAGGAUCAUCCUUCUCUAAUAAUUUUUCAUCACUUCCUAUCUUCAAAGAUAUGACUGGAACUCCUUGACCAGGAAGACAGAUGAAAAUGGGGGCCUGUGGGUAGAGAUUACAAGAGAUGUGGUGGGGAAGGAAAAAAGAGUCCUUUCUUUUAAUAAAUCAUCAUUGUUAGAAGUA